UUUGUGUCGUAUGCAUGCAGGGUCGGCCCAAUACAUGGGCAAGUUGGGCUUAAGCCCAAGGCAUCAAAUCAAAUUAUAAGGGGGCAUAAUUUGUUUCCGAUAAAUAAUACUAUAUAUAUUAUUGAGGCCCAAAAGUUUACUACAUUUAAGGUAUGGAGGCAAGAAUGAAAAAGCGUGAGCGCCAAAUUAAAUCUUCUUGAGAACUGCAAUCGACAUCGAGAUAGCUACCCUUGAAAAUAUCUACCCGGAGGCAAUAGUGAAAUAGCUACCCUUUGAAACGAGGAGUCGACAGUGGUCUAUGGAGAUCGAGGAGUCGACAGUCAAUCAAUCGAUCAUCGAUUCAUCAGUGUUCGACUGAACUAUCUUGGGUCUACCAGAUUUGGCAUUCUUUGGUGGGUAAUUGUCGAUUUUACAGGUGAACCAAUUACAUGUUAACCAAGUUCAAGAGCAUCUACCCCAAUUCCAUUGCCAUUAAAGAAGGGAUUGAAGGACAAAAGGCACAAACCAUCAAGAAUCCAUCAGAAUCACAAAUAAAACAACCUUUUAGGAAGUUUUUUUAGGUUUUUUGUUGUAUUAAUAUUUUUUUAUUAAUCGUAAAGUUUAUUGCACUUUUGUUAUUUAAGUUUUUUUAUAUAUUUGUCUGUUCGAGUAAAAACAUUGGGCAUUAUUUUAUUAUCUGGCCCAGGGCACGGAAAACCAGUUGAACGGCCCUGUAUGCAUGUGCAUAUGCAUAUAAGAAUAUGACAUGUUUGAAAUUAAAAAAGUGACAUGCAUGUGAAUAUGGUACAGUAUGUAUUUGACAUUAAAAAAACCAUGUGAAAUAUAAAUGUAUGCAUCAAUUCAGUGCACUUGUCACCUGACAAAAAGUAUAGAAAUUUCCAGUUCAUUCAAACUUAUUGUGUAUUUAAAUAAUGUAUAAUUUAAUAUAAAUGUAUGUGACAGUUAAGUACAAAUUGUAAAUGUAUAAUUCCUUUAUUCAA